CUCCGCCUCCCUGCCCGGCUGCCACCCGAGCCCCGGGGACAGCGGGAGCUGCCUGGUCCCCGCCCGGGGCAUUCCCCGGACAGUUGGCACGGGCGGCUCGUUCCUCUUGGCGCGCGUCCAAGCUCGCGCCAGGCUCGCUCGGUUGGAGGAGGGUGUAAAGCAGAAAGCCCGCCCUGGGCACUGCCCGCUCCACGGGGCCGGGGCAGGUCAGACACUGCCCCGCCGCGCGCAGCCUCGCCCGCCUGCCUGCCGGUCGGUGGCAGCGGAGAUGGGGCUCGGGUGCUGCCUUGGGGUUGGAGCAGCAGGGGAGAAAAGGCCCUAGCCAACCUCUGUUCAGGUGACUGUCCCUUCUGUGGAGAUUGGGUCCAACGCUGGUGCAGAGAGCAGCCUCUUCUUUCUGGAGUAAAGGAGGAUUGGGAAGAGAGGACAGCACCAUGGCUCACUGGCCAGCCACCAGGGGAGAAAGCAGCUGCAUCCUUUCAAGCCUGCAGUAACUUUUUCCAAGGUGCAUGUAAGAGCAGGACAUUUCUAUAAAAGCAAGGCAUAUUUUUUUGGACAAGACAGUAACCGAUCCCCGGAGAUACAGAGAAGAAGAUUGAAGAAUCAAGAAAAAUAAGGGACAACAAAGAUGCCUGAAAGCAGCUGCAAAUGUUUCAAGCCUCCCUCCUCCGUCCCAAAGGCCAUCUCAGAUAAGGCAGCGAAAAAAAGGCACGCGCGAUGAAAUGUUCUCUGAGUUCAUGCAGUCGUCCGGCACUGACAGAGCUGAGCAAAAUGUGUGGAGGGACACAAUAGCAGAGUACAGGAAAGUGGCCGAUGAACGUGAGGAGAGGUGGUGGCAGGAAGAUCAGAGGAGGCAUGAGGCAACGCUGGGGCUACUGCAGGAUCAAACAGACAUGCUCCAGCGUCUGGUGGAGGUUCAUGAAUGGCAGCAGGAUCACAGACUGCCGCUGCAGACCCUGCUUAACCGCCCUCCCUCCUCUCCAAGUUCCAUAGCAUCCUCACCCAGACGCCCAAGAACAUGGGGGUAGGGGAGGAGGCUCCAGGCACCCAACCACUCCACCUCAGUGGACAGCCCAAGCAACAGAAGGCUGUCAUUCAAGAAGUUUUAAAGUGGCCUUUUCCUUCCCUCCUAUCACACCCGACCCGGGCUAUCUUGUGAGUUAUCUCCCUAUUUUUAUAAUAAAUUAAUAAAGAAUACAUGUUUUUUAAACGA